UAAUAUUAUUCAUUCAUUACUCGCUGCUUUGUAAAACAUAGCUGCCAUUUCCUCUCAGUUUAAAACUCAGUGUCAAGUUCGUUGUCAGUGUCACAGAUGACAUUUCCUGUAAUUUCAUAGUCGGAUGCUGGUACAUAGAGGAAUGUUACGGGGACGUUGCUGGCCGUCUAGUGGCGCUGCCUGGUAGCGGCCGACCGAACUAAACAAUUUCACAUUCCAGUCACCAGCUGGCGUUCCAUGAUGCAACCUCCAACUCCAAGACUCCAACCUGUGGAUUGACCCCAACAACUACAGCCAUUGUGGUCUGUGCUAGAAGAAUGCAGCGAUGCAGUGAUUCAUAAACUUCACACCGAUAUUUCUCGAUUAUUCAGUAAUGGUCGGUGGAUUGGCGAUUACACUCUGUGGUAUUUGAAAUGCAAUUAUCAAGAAAUAAACGUUGGUCAACUAUUGACUGAACCGUUAA